GGGAGUGUGGCCAAACGGGAAGGCGCCUGCCCCGCAAGCAGGAGAUUGAGGGUUCAACUCCCUCCACUUCCA
rnacentral:tRNA from 1 species